UGGUGGAGUGAUUUGUCUGGUUGAUUCUGUUAACGAACGAGAUCUCCGCCAUUACUUAUCCUCCGGCCUCGCAGUAGCCGUGCCUCGUCGGUUUCGGCCGUUCGAUACGCCGGCGAGAGGCGGGAGGGAUAUAAUGGGACCACGCACGUCUUAGUGCGUUGAAGCGGGAGCCCAUAGCA
rnacentral:rRNA from 1 species